GAAUGUGAAGGAAAUCUGGGUCCAAUGUCUGUGGACCCACUGACUUCUAGAACUGAUGGAGUAUCUACUAAUUAUACGAGACAUUUAUCCCUCACUACUUCAUUUCUAAGCAAAACUGCAAUUCAGGGUUGAUUAGGAGGGCUUUUCCUAACAGAUAAAGUCUCUUCUUUGGUUAAAGUUAUAUGAAUAGCUGCAGGCGUCUGCUAGAAUCUCUAAGUGUAAAAAUUCAAUAUAGAAAACAGUAGUGAAGUAUCUAAAAGAACCUAAAUAUGAAACCAUGU
rnacentral:snRNA from 1 species